UACGUAGGGGGCUACCGUUGUCCGGAUUUAUUGGGCGUAAAGAGCGUGUAGGCGGCCAGGUAGGUCUGCUGUGAAAACUCGAGGCUCAACCUCGAGACGUCGGCGGAAACCAUCUGGCUAGAGUCCGGAAGAGGAGAGUGGAAUUCCUGGUGUAGCGGUGAAAUGCGCAGAUAUCAGGAAGAACACCCGUGGCGAAGGCGGCUCUCUGGGACGGUACUGACGCUGAGACGCGAAAGCGUGGGGAGCGAACAGG
rnacentral:rRNA from 1 species